AUAUAUAUCCCUAAUAGCACACGACGUCCUUUGGACGUCCAAAAUAGGUCCAUUUUUGGUCCUUACGUCCAUGGACUAUAAACGGACGUCCUUUGGACGUCCCAUGUUGGACGUCCUUCGGAAGGAAUAAAUAUGGACGUCCUUUGGACGUCCGACGUUGGACGUCCUUCGGACGGAAUAAAUAUGGACGUCCUUUGGACGUCCGACGUUGAACGUCCUUUGGACGUCCAUACUGGACGAAAUACGGACGUUUUAUGAACGCUUAUAUAUUUUAUAUUGGACACAUUAUUACGGGAUCAAAUAGCAAAAUAAUUCAAUAAAAUAUUAACUUACGCGUUAACUUUACGUUAAUGAAAUACAGUCAAACCUGUCAGUAACGGCCACUAAAAUGAAAGAACUAUUGGCCGAUAUAGAAAGGUGGCCGUUAUUACCAGUUUUUGUAGUCUAGAUAUACAGUAAAACUUGUGUUACUGGCCACCUGAUAAAAUCGGCCACCUGUACUAACGGCCGGUUUAAAUAUUCCCCAAACCAAUUAUAUCUGGACUACAAAAACUGGCAAUACCGGUCACCUUUCUAUAUCGGCCAAUAGCUUUUUCAUUUUUAGUGGCCGUUACUGACAGGUUUUACUGUAAUUGGUUUGGGGAAUUUUUAAACUGACCGUUAGUACAGGUGGCCGGUGUUUGCAGGGGGCCGGUAACACAGGUUUUACUGUAGUUUAAAUCGAAAAGAUUAAAUCUUAAUUCAAAAUUGUAUAUACAAUUAUUACAAUUAUAAACAAACUAUAUAGUUUAAUAUCCAAAACAUGUUUUUGAUUUUAUGUAAUGUAAUGAAAAUCUUAUUUGUAAAUUAUUGGUUACAAUGUUUAACAAUAGGAAAUAUUCAAGAAUAAAUAAAAUAAAAGUUUAAUCCUAACAACACAAAACAUUCCAGGAAUAUAGGUACUACCGUUCUAUUCCGUGAACAUCUAUCUGAUUAAAUUAUGGGUGGAAAGUUACCACAAGAUAUUCUAUGAACAUAGUACAAUGGGUGCGUUCGGACGACCACAGCGGCUGGACAGCUGAGCCAGCAGUAGCUGUCAGACGUCACCGCUGGAAGCCAGCCGCUGAGAGAUUUACUAAGCUUUCCCUAUCACGGCUGGAUGCAACCACUCAGCCGAUUUCUGCUGGCAGCCAGCCGCUAUGGUCGUCCGAACGCACCCAAUGUCUUCCUGGAGGGGUAAAAUUUUCCAUUACAAGAUUUUAAGAGAGGCCAUUUACUGUUCAAUUUGCGUUCAUUUUCAAAUUUGCCGCGCGAGUAUCUAUGUAGCGUCGCGUGGUCAUUGGUCAUCACAUUUCAUUUUCAUAAGAUAAAAGAUAACCGAUAACCUAAAAAUUUAGUAAAAAUUUUGAUUGGAAAAAAAUGCAUCGAUAAGGGGGUGUGGGAAAUGGAAAUUAGUGGCUUUUCUGCUGUACUGUCUGCUAGUCAAAUCACACAACACUUUUUUCUAUGCUGCUAGUUUUUGCUCUGUGCUCUGGCUGGAUCUCUUGUUUAAACAAUUUUAAUCAGCUGAAAGUGGCCUACAAAAAAAAACCAAGAAGGAAAUAUAUAGCCUUGUGGCUAUGAAAGGCAAAAGAGAGAUAUAAAAAGUGUAUUGGCUAGUUGGAAGAAAGUCCACAUUGUCCAUGCAUAAUAAGUUAUUACUUUAUCAACAAAUAUCAAGAAGAUAGCAGGGUCAGGAGCAACAACUUCAUAAGUUCAAGAAUAUCGAGGAAAUCCAGCUCCUCGAUACUACUGGGCAAACUAGAAGAUUGAAGAGGACAAAGCCUUUUGAACUAGUUUGAGUGAUAGGUGAUAGUGAAAAACGGAGCAUAGUGCUUGUGUGCUGUGCCUGUGUAUGUUAAAAUAGUGCACGAUCUUGUUAGAUUAGAUAAGAGACGCUAUGGGGUAAGCUCUUCAUUUUAAGAAACAGUAGUAAUUUAGGUUAAAUUAAAAUUGCUCAUUGGUCAGUUAUGACCAGAUUGUUUUUUAUGUUUGGCAAAAAGGACUUAAGUCAGAAUUGCACAUUGAUAAUGUUUUGAUGAUUUCUGGACCAGAAAAAAACUGUUGUAGAUGUAAACUGUACCCUAACAACACACAACAUUCCAGGAAUGUACUACCAAAGUUCUAUCAAUAUUUGAAUGUCCUGGACAUUUAGGGAACAUUCGGUGAACAUCUGAUUAAAUUAUUCCUGGAAUGUUACCAUAAGACAUUCUGUGAACAUACUACCAAUGUUCCUAUAUUUUAAGUUGCGAAAUAAUACAUACGUGUAAGAGAUACAACAUUACUUAUAACAUACCAGACAAACUAAGUGACAUUUUAGGCCUACAGUGCAAUAAUAUGUCAAAUUUAAAGAGUUUCCCAAGUUCAAUGAAUACAAUAUUAUAAACAUACAAAUGUAAUAAAAAUUAUUGUUCGCGAAUAUUCAAUUUGGAAUGCGAUUUUGUUAAUAAAAAAAAUACUUAUAACUUAUGCAAAACCCAAGCGAGGCAUUUAUAUUUAUUUCUUUUGCGUUCAUUUUCAAAUUCGCCGUGCAUAUAUGUUUGUGCAUGGCGCUUGAGAGGGCAUCACGUGACUAAAAACGACCAACCAACGACCUCGCUUCGGCCAUCUUGGCAUCUUCAUCUUGGCGACCUUGCCGUUGCCCGGCCUUGCCUUGCCGUGGAUUGUUGUUUGUAUUUUGUAUUAUUUGUGCUUUUUAAGAAUAUUUUUUUAAUUCGGAUACUUUUAUAAUAGCUUUAAUAGUAUUAUUAACAUAGUGCAUAAAAUGGUGUCCUGUUUUUAACGCAGUUGGAGUAGCAGAAACAAAUGUAGAUAAAAAAAUCUGCAGGAAUAACGUUUCAAUUAUGACAGAAGCUCAAAACAAAUGACUGUGAAUGAAAAGCCCUAUUAAAAGCUUUCCAGAAGAUCCUGCGAAGAAGACAAGAAAGUAUAGAUUAGAUUUGUUAAUAGAGGAGUAUGUUCAAAACACUUUUUAGAAAAAGAUAUUGACAGAACUUCACUUUCAUCUGUUCGUUUGAGAGACUGUGCUGUUCCAAUAGCUUAUGUCACACAGAAUCAGCUGAGAGAAGUGGUCUACAAAAAACCAGAAAGGAAACGGAAUAUGUGGCUACGAAAAGCAAAAGAAAGGUUUACAAAGCAAAUGUGACACAUUUUUUUAUAAUAUUUAGGAAUGUCAGCAAAUUACAUUAAAAAAUGUAUGUAAAGAUUUUUUGCAAUAAAAAUGUUUAUAUUUAUCAAGGAUGUAUUAUUUGGUAUGGCCAUAUAUCGUCAGUGAUGUGACAGUACCUCCUAUCUGUUUUUUUUUCAAGAGAUUUGUAAGAUAGACUAAAAACUUGUUUCGGCCACCUCCUGUUUUCAUAUAUUUUUUGACUUGUUUUGCAGUAAAUUCAACUAUCUAUUUACUACAAAAAAA